rnacentral:rRNA from 1 species
AUUGAACGCUGGCGGCAGGCCUAACACAUGCAAGUCGAGCGGAUGAAGGGAGCUUGCUCCUGGAUUCAGCGGCGGACGGGUGAGUAAUGCCUAGGAAUCUGCCUGGUAGUGGGGGAUAACGUCCGGAAACGGGCGCUAAUACCGCAUACGUCCUGAGGGAGAAAGUGGGGGAUCUUCGGACCUCACGCUAUCAGAUGAGCCUAGGUCGGAUUAGCUAGUUGGUGGGGUAAAGGCCUACCAAGGCGACGAUCCGUAACUGGUCGGAGAGGAUGAUCAGUCACACUGGAACUGAGACACGGUCCAGACGCCUACGGGAGGCAGCAGUGGGGAAUAUUGGACAAUGGGCGAAAGCCUGAUCCAGCCAUGCCGCGUGUGUGAAGAAGGUCUUCGGAUUGUAAAGCACUUUAAGUUGGGAGGAAGGGCAGUAAGUUAAUACCUUGCUGUUUUGACGUUACCAACAGAAUAAGCACCGGCUAACUUCGUG